UCGUAAGAUAUCAGAAGCCGUCUGACUUGGCCACAUCGCUAGGAAGUCCGAAGUACUAGAAAAAACCGGCAUCUGCUACCUUCAACAGAAGGAGGGUGGGAAACAGUUAAUAAACUGUAUGUAUGCAACCCUCUCGCCAGCAACUCCGAAGACGAGUCACGAAUCAGUAGGGCAGAUGCACGUGACCUUAAGAAGAAGGUCAAACAAAGGUCUAAAUCGUUUAAUAGGCCUUCCGCUGCAUAUGGUAUUAUUGGUGCUGGUAAUCGUGCAUGGGGAGGUCCAUCCGUUUUCACAGAGACGUUUCCUACUCAAAACCAUGGACAAACAAAUGAACCGAGGUAUGGCUCCUUUCGCGGCUCCUCUGCCGCGCCAUCCUUCAGACCAAACCCCUUUACCCCGGGUCCAUGCUUCACCUGCGGAGAGCUCAACCAAAUUUGAAGAACGUGGCCCUACACAAGGACGGCGCAGCAACCUGAAUUACCCGGAAGAAAAUGAGAGUGUCCCAGUUGGGGAAAACCCAGAUAUUGACUUUCAAGAUGAGUAUUCUAUUUUUAGAUCUUUUGAGUAUGAUAAAAUAAGUUUACAGACGAUUUCUUUGAAUACGAACAGGGACAGAAAGAUAUUAUUGUUAAAAACAGAUUAAAAGAUCAUAUCGAUUUUUGAAGGCUAUAGGAGCAAGUCAGUUUAUUUUUAGAUACCAUUUUUUAUGGAUACAAAAUCCCAUUUUACUCGUUACCAAGUAGAUAAUUUUCUAGUAAUAAUUUGUCUGCUUUAAAAGAAAGUUAUUUUGUUAAAGAGGCUAUACAAAGUUUAUUAGACAGAGGUUUAAUUGAACAGUGUGCAGAUAUACCUACAGUUGUCAAUCCUUUGUCUGUUUCUACACAAAACAAUGGCAAAAAAACGUCUUAUUUUAGAUUUACGAUUAGUCAAUAAACAUGUAUGGAAACAGUCGGUGAAAUAUGAAGAUUUGGGAAUAGCACUCAUGUAUAUCAAAAAGGACAGUUGGAUGAUAAAAUUUGAUAUUCACUCUGCAUAUCAUUUUGUGGAUAUAUUUUUACCAUCUAGGGUUUUCUUUUGUUGACAUGAAAGGUAUAGUUCGCUAUUAAAAAUUUUUAGUACUCCCAUUUGGAUUAGGAGUAGCAUCUUAUUUGUAUACAAAAUUGACCCGCCCUUUAAUAGCAAAAUGGAGGGGAGAAGGAAAAAGGGUAACUAUGUUUCUUGAUGACGGGUUUGGUGUAGCAGAUAAUGUGGGGUUAACUAGAAAAUUAUCCAUGGAUGUGAAGCAAGAUUUGCUCGAUUCGGGUUUAAUACCCAAGGCUGAUAAGUCACAGUGGUGCCCGGUACAAAUUUUAGAAUGGCUCGGUGCUAUUUUAAAUUCUAUUGAAUUUACUAAUAGUAUUCCUCAGCGCAGGAUUGAUAAAGCAAUGUCAAUGCUCCGUGAGCUGAAAAUGUCAAAAUGGGUCCCGGUUAGAAAGGUCGCUAGUUUUGUGGGACAGAUUAUUUCAAUGAGUAUUGUUGUAGGUCCUGUAUCACAAAUUAUGACUCGUAAUAAAUGAGCAUGGAUAUUUUGCAAGCCCGUACAUGGAAUUCUUACAUAAAAUUGUCCGUAGAGAGUCGACAGCAGUUAGCAUUCUGGGAAAAUACUUUGAUUUCUCUUAAUGUUAGGCACUUGAAUACCUUAGAUUAUUGUUCUAUGAUCGUUUAUAGCGAUGCCUCUAAUACAGCAUUUGCGGGCUAUGAAGUAGGUACUGUAAACGGGGUGUCUCACGGGACUUGGUCUCAAGAAGAGUCUCAUAAGUCCUCCACGUGGAGAGAACUAUGUGCCGUUUAUAGGAUUUUACGGUCUUUAGUUCAUGUAUUAGGAAAUCAAAGAGUGAAGUGGUUUACAGACAAUACAGGCGUAUGUACUAUAGUUCAAAAAGGGUCUAUGAAACCAGAAUUGCAAGACUUGGCCUUAAAGGUUUUCAAUUUUACCUCGAUACCUUCUAUUCAUUUAGAAGUAGAGUGGUUACCAAGGAGUAUGAAUGAAAGGGCAGAUUAUUUAUCAAAAGUGGUAGAGACUGAUGACUGGGGGAUAUCUUUUGAAAUCUUAAAAAUGAUACAAGAAAGAUGGGGAACAUUAGAUAUAGAUUUUCUUGCGUCAGAACAUAAUGCGAAAUUGCCAAUUUUCUAUUCAAAAUUUUGGUGUUACAAGUCUUCUGGUGUAGUUGCAUUUACUUUUGACUGGGGUAAAAAGUUUGGGUUAUAUGUCCCUCCUGCAGGGUCUUAAAGAAAAUGGAAAAAUGUAAUGCCAGAGGUAUUUUGGUUAUUCCCGAGUGGACAUCUGCCAAUUUUUGGCCAUUAUUGUGCUUAACAAAUGGCAUUUGGAGUUUUUUUGUGAAAGACUGGAUGUAUUUACCCACAGAUAAAGAAUCCUAUACUACAUGUAAAAGUGGGAAAGGAAUGUUUGGAACUCAAUAUGUUAUCCUUGUAUGUGAAUUUAAAAUAGAAUAAGGGAAAUAACUUAUUUAUACAUAUAUGUUUAUUACAAACUAAGUGGCCUCCCUUGGUAUAUUGGCAUAGCUGGUAGUAAACAUGCCUUGGAACAACAUGUUAUUUUUUCAUGUUGGGAAUUAUGUGUGGAUAUAUGCACAUUGUAUUUGAUGAAGAUAUCUUGUAUCAUGUUUAUAGAUGAUUACUUAAUUCAGACUUAAGUCUGGUACUAUGCGUUACACAUAGGGAUGAGAUAUGAUUAUAGUUAUGCUGAUGACAUAGAGCAGCUGCCGGACGUCCUGACGGACAAGGUUUCCUUACUACCGGAAAUACUCAAAGAAUCUAGAGCGGAAAACACCUGUUUGGCUUACAAAGGAGGAUUCAAACGUUGUAGGGCAUGGGCUUUGAGUAACGGACUUGAGA
rnacentral:lncRNA from 1 species